ACCUCCCCUACCUACCCCCCAAUCUACCCCACCUUUAAAAUUGAUACCACCCUUAAAUUCUACCCUCAUAAUUUUACCCCAACAAUAAUUUGGCCAAGUGAUCGUCUAGUUAAAGGUUAGGACCCCUUGAAGUGAACCGCGGAACCCUAGAUUCUUUAAUGAGUAACAACUAAAUCUUGGACUUUGAUUUUACCUAAUUGUUUAUUACCUAGAUGUUAAAGAUCUGAUAUUUACUGUACUAUAAUAAUAUACCUAUUAUGUUGAUGAGAAAUUAUUUAAAGGAUAUUAUGUUAAGAUUCCACCUCCUGCGAAACACCGUAAAACUAAGAUACUCUGAACCAUUUUUAUAUUAAGUAUGACACCUUAUGAGUAGGAAAGAAAUAUAGGUAUAAUAAACUAAAAGUUAAUAGCAAUGUCCCGGUUAAGGGUAUAGGCUCCGCCCAUACGCGCGAGUCGUUGGCGUCGGGUGUAGCCUUAAGUUACAGAAACGUCAAUGUGAUUUUUAAUGUAAUGUAAAAUAUAAUUUUAUUAGAUAAUUCAUUAGAAAAAUAUUGCAGCAUGUAAGAUAAAAUAAAUAUAAAAAUAGUAUUGCAGCGUAUAUGAUGAUAUAAAUAUAAAAAUAUUUUUGGUAUAAUCCUGCUACUCCUAUUAAGUCUUCGGGGUAACAUUGAAGCAGCACUCCUGGGAUAAGCCCAUUUACACACUAUUAUAAUCAGAUUAAAUAUUAUUACCUAUCAAUCCUAUCAUCUUCUAAACGAGGUAUGAAUAGAUCACACGUGCUGCCUCUAAUGCUAGAUGCAGGUCUGAAGACUCUUACUCCGAUUAGCAAUAUCAAUCGGGCCACCUACUCCUACCCUAUUAGCCAGACGGGCUAUGACCAACGCUUCGAAACCUAUGCAAACCUAGGGGCUGACGAAAAGAAGCGAUAAGUAUUCGUCAGACCACCAUUUACUUAUCUUUUUUCAUAUCCAAAAGCUAAGGCUACUAAGCCAUUACCCAGUCCCCAUAGGUAAAAGUAGGCUGAAUUCCCAGGCCUUUUAAAUGUAUAAACGAAGUACAAGUAUUAUUGUACUUUAUGAUAUCGAAAUAUCAAGAUGAGCAUUAUUCCACUCAAAGAUUCCAAUGGACUGCGCUCGCCUGCCAAAGGGUCUCUAAAACAAACCAUUCCUCAAUCCCAGAAUAGGCUGUGUUCCUAAACCCAGCUUGAUAUUUAAGAAUUGAUUUUGUAAAUACCUUAGAACCUGAGCGCAAUACUCAGUACUUCGUCCCUACACUAAAAGCCCAGAAAUGAGAAUAAAUAGAUAUAAGAUGUUACAGGUAACCUUCGAUUUUCCACUCAGGGUAGUAACAGUCUGGAAGAUUUAGGUAAUUGGACUCCAUUACCAGUAUUCCACUCAAUAUUAGCAUUAGUUCAAGAUAUAAAACCAUAACUUCACGUCAUUAGAACCUUUAAAAGAGAAAUAUACACCAACUAAUCAAAUCUCUAGACCAAACCUAAGAGAGACCCUAUAACAGUGUGUGUGACUCUACCCUAUUCCUGCCCUUAGUCCCUAAUCUAGUAUGUCCAGAUCACAGAUCGUACUUACCAUUGAUCUAGUGGUUUGGAACAUACACAAGUGUAUCCCUAAGUCUAAGCUGUAAGCUUUCGGCCGACAAAACCGAGGUAUAGCAAACCCUAGUGUCUGUGUGAUUGGCCCCCUCCUCAUCGCCACGUGGGCACGGUGGAUGAGAAUAGACCGCCCUAGCAUGUAUAUAAAAACAUCGGCAACCUAGCCCACACCCGUACUAGCCACAUGGGAAACGCUGCCAUGACUAAGACUUUGUUUGUGUUUGGUAUCAAUCACGACAGAAGUUUUCCCUGCAACCAGCACAAGCACGAACCAGAGCACCGAAAUAUAUAAAUAUAUUUAAUAAGAGACCUAGCCUCAAUUACUGCAGACUUCAGUGAGUAGGGAUUACUCCCAAUGGCACGCACGUGAUGCCCUCACAUUCAUCUAACAGCUGGACUUUGAGACUAGGGAGAGUAUGCUCGCCUCUUAUGUUGGUAAAGAAGAGACGCCAAGUCCUCUCAACUUGGAGCUAAAGACUUCUAAACGGCUUCAGUUUGGCACCGUUAGGGAGAAACCGCUUAGAUGGACAAACUGUUAGUCCAAACAGUGAUCUGGCUUUAUAAAAUAUCAAACUAAUACCAUAGAAAGAUAGUAAAUAACGAAGUUAGAUUUUGCUAACAGAAAAAUCACAAUAUAGUAACACAAAUAAGGAAGUAAAGUAUCUCCACCAUAGCCCAAGUUUAGCAUUACGAUGAAAUCGCAAAACCAAACACAGACACAAUCCUACAAGUUUAAAUUUACCAGGAUAAUUCCCAGCAAACACAAACAAAUAGAAAGAAUAGUAGAGAAACUUCACUUACCCAAAGCCAGAGAUACUGCUAGUCCGAUGGUCAAAGAAUGAAUGAAUCCCGACUGCUCUCACCGGCCCUUUUAUAUGCCUUUACUAGCGACACAAUGGGGACAUAACGGGGACACACUGGAUACCUAGUAGCUACUGGAUACACAAUGGAUACAUAGUAGCUACUGGGGACAUAUUAGAUACAUAGUAGGGACUUAGACUUAAAUAAGACAAUUGUCAAUCUAAAAGUACCAGGGUACCAGAAUUCAGAAGGAGGUUGCUCUCCUCGUGGCACGUAGUGACAUACGAUUCAUGGCGAAAGAUCAUAAGUUUCAUCUUGUUUACCAAACCAUACGCCCUAUACAAUAACGUUCACAUUAACACCGGUUGUCAACUGUGUCCCUAUCGCACACAAGGCUCAAAGAAAGACGGAGAUAUUUUCAAUGACGUUUACUCACACAAUGUCAUUUACGCACACAGUGACAGCAGUCGCUUAGUAGUCAGUUUAAGUAGACCAAAACAAUGAUAAAAGGGUACGUUCCAAAACCUGUCAAGCAUGAAUAUGCAAGCAUUAUUAUUUACUUUCAGACCUUAUAGUUUUGUUUCCUGUAAGGAACAUCUGUAUUGUAAUACUUCACGUUUAUUAUCAAAUAGGUAAGUCAAUGUUUUUAUUACACCAAUAAUUGCAUGUACGAAUACAAAUAUUCUUUUAAAAGAAACUAAUAGAUUUAGGAAUAGUUUUUGGCUUCGCAAAUCUUACCAGUUGUUCAGCACAACAGAAUGAACUGUCAAUGUCAAUGUCAGUAAUAUUAUUCCCCAUUUUAGGUUAUCUUCGAUUAAUCAUUAGUAUUUCGCGCAUUAUUUUAAAACAAAAUAAUGAAUAUUUACUAUGUGUUACGUAUUUAAACGAAAUCACGAGUGGUGAAAUAUGGAAACGUGUCCAUCAAGAUGUAAUUGUUAGAAUAAAGGGUGAAAUCAUGAACGAAAAAUGCAAACGAAGAGGACUAUAGUAUUUGUAAGGUAUUUCGUUAUUAUUCUAUGUGUUUUGAUACAAAACUGAGGCUAAUAUUACGCAAUAGGCAUAUGGCUAGUCACAGCCGCCCCCAAAUUUAAGGUUUUUAUGAAUUACCACAGGAAUUUAUAAAAAACUUCAAUUUCCUCUAGAUUUAGUCGGAAAAUUUUCCCCCUUUUUUUUUUUUAAACGUGUAGUGUGUAUUCCAAUACUAAGUGACUGUUAACGCCUCAGCUUUGAAAUCAGUUCAUCAGAACUCCGUCAAUGAACCAAGACAACUUUUUCCCCAGAAACCUCGCUCUGCCAGAGAUACCAGAUUGUGAGUCCGAUAGGUCCUAUUAACCCGUCCUUGCCAGCUCACCCCGAUCUCGGCGAGUAUUCCUUCCCUCUGCGGACCGUACACUUCCGUAGAAGAGCAUCUAAUGAGACAGCAAAAACUUCCCAUGCAGAACGAAGAAACCUUUAAUUUUUAUAAGUACGAAGCUUUCAAGUUCCAUUGCCAAAAUUCGAACCAAAUUUCACUGCCUUAUCACUCUCAGCCACGUUUUCUUGGCGAGUGUCUCAUACUUAAAUAAGAUAUACCGACCUUUAAGUUUGUUUGGGUGUGGUUUUUUUUUUUUUUAAACAAACUUAAAUUUGACACUAGUAAGUACCUCAAUAUGAUACAGCAAAGAUAUUUUUGUCUAAACCAAAGAAUUAUUAAACCAAGUUAAAUAAGGUAAAAUUAUUUGCUGAUUAUUACACCUUAUCCCAAUAAAAACAAUAUUAUAAUUAUGUUUAAUUAAUUCUUGAAAAGAGCCUCGUCCCUUCUAGACGCUCACGGCCCAUAAAACAUGUCGAAUGUCGGAUAUAUCCCAUCCAAGAUGAGUGUGUGGGUUUCGUAAGUGUAUUCAUACCUUGUAGAGUACUAACUAGAAAAAUCUACCCUUUUAAAUGGGUCUAAUCCAAUGGAUUUUAACCUACUGAUAAGACUUUUCCAGUUAGUUGUGUUUCCCCUUCCCCCCAUUCUCUGUUCCCCUGCAAACACCGACAAAUCUAGUUUGAUUACACUCCGUCCUUUGUCUAUCUGUAUCAAUCCAUUUUUUCCAAUAUAGGUACAUCCGUCUACUAUACGUCCAUCAUCUGAUAUGCAUACAUCUCAUUCAUAAAACCUCACAUAUUCAUAACUAUAAGCACUUAUCGUACAUAUACAUUCCUCCUCAGUUACGCAUUCACACGAUUUUUACAGACAGCCAAGACUCUUGAGAUGCAAUCAAAAAGUAAAAAAAUAAAAACACAAAAUUUAUUAUUGUACUGUCACUUGUAAUAUAUAAAAAAAAGUAAGAAAAAAAACAUUCUGUCCUAGCCCCAUACUAGCCCAAUACCGAUUUAAAUUAUUUAAUAAUUACUACCUGAAUAUAUAUUUUUUUUAUUAAGUAUUUAAUUCAAUUGACACACGAAGUUUUUUUUUUGUAAUAUUUUAUGACAACGCUCCGCGACUAAUUCACCUGCCUUUUGUUCACUAGUGCCGUUCAAAAAUGCAAUGUCGUCCACCCAUUAUACAAUAGACCAUCGCGUCAUGGACGUGUAUCGUCAGCUGCAAAAAGUAUCCCACCCUGUAUUAAAGUUCAUAUGCAAGAAUCUUAAGCGAAUAUGGAUAAAGAUUGGGCAUGAGGAUCUACACAAGUGCCUAUCACUAAAAAGGCAUGGUGCAGAAUGAAGGGCUGGGUGUACAAAAAAAAAAAUGACCUCAGACGGCCGCGACCCUGAGUCACGAGGAGCCGAGGAAGAACACAAACGAAUAGUACCGCUGAUAUACAAAUAACGAAGAAUGAAUCCCGAAACACGCCCAACCAUUCCACUCUUUACCCCCGAGAAUCGAUAUGUCCACACGUAAUGUCUAACUAUUGCUCUAACAAAAGCCUAUAACCACGCACUAUUAUGCAACAAUUAUAUAUCAGCUAAAUGUCAUACAACUUUGUUCUCAUUACCUUGAUACUGGGAAAAUUGUCACACUGGGCAAAAGCCACUAUUUACAAAACUUGGGCUAAAUUGGAAUGCUAUGGCAAUAAAACCUAAAAUUGACUCUAGAAUCUAGAUGUACCCUGCCUCUAUAUGGUUAAGCCAUCUCCCAAGGCAAAACAUUUCAAAAUAUGCUCAAGCAUUCAUUAUAAAAUAAAACCAAAUCAGGACUUAGGGCUACAAUCUGGGUGAUAAAAUGAAAUAUAGAUAUUUCUUCCCAGUAAAAUUCCGAACUUUACUCAGAUAGCAUUUGAUAUGAUGAUGACGAUGAUAAAUAAUAAACAUUAAUUAAUCAUAUAUGAAUAUUUAAAUAAUGAAUUGAAUUAAAAAAAUGUUUUCCCGCACAAUGCAUUUGACUACACCAAAUAUAUCUAUGUAACUAUUACACCCCAAUAUAUAACCAAAUUACAGCAAAUAUGCUUAACAAGAUUUGAAACAACAAUGUACUUUACUCAAACUAUCCGCUUAAUUCGUUACUUCAUAGUAAAAUGCAAUAUAAAUUAAGAAUGUUAAGAGCACAAAAGUUCCAUGUAUAAAAUGUUUAAUAGCAAAGAAAAAGAAUUUUAUAACAAUUUUUCUUUCAUACUUACAGUAUCUGUUUUUGACUAAAACAAGUCGCUUGUGAUUUCACACAUUAAUGUUCUUCAUUUACCACGAUGCUCAGUAGGCCUUAGGACAGUUGCAACAGGAAAGUCAGUGACUGUCGUUACUUGGUCUCACCAGCGGCACCAGCACUUGAAGUCUGGCUAUGGUGUCUGUUCUUCUCCAAAUUGCCCGGCAUUAACUAAUAAUCUAGUCCCGGUAUCACAAUAUUCUCUUGAAUUAUAGUUCAGGUUUUCAUUAAUUCACUUCAAUUAUAACCACAUUAACACUUUUUACACUAUAACCCACUCCACUUUUCACUCAGAUACACAUAAUUUCUCACUAAACCCCUUUUUUAGAAAACGCCUGCAUUUGAUAUUUAAAACCAACUUAUAAAGGUAAAGUUUUUCUUAAGAAUAUUAAACGAAGAAAAAUAAUAAGCCACGCAACUACAAUAAACUUUUAAAAAAACGAAGCCCUAAUAUGAUCUAAAAUAUAGCAAUGUAAUCGCAAAGUUGGCUAAUCAUUUAAUAUUGAUUCACAAAAACAAAACACAAAAAAAAACUUAUUCACUCAGUGGGAUUUGAACUCGGGCAAAAUGCAUUUAGCCUACAUACAUUAGACAACCUACAGACCCGCUAUGCCACGAUAGAGUUACUGUAAGAGGUGAAUUUAGCAAUAGCUUUGCAGCGUAACUUUUCUCUGAUUUCCUUUUAUUAUGAAGUGUUUCGCACACGUACUGGCAAGUUUUAUCUUUAAUUGAAGAGAAAAAUAUAUAUUUACAAUGUAAUUACAUACUUAUAUAUCCAAAUUACAUACAAUUCGAAAUUGACGUAAAUAUAAAAUUCAAGAACACAUGUUCAUUAACAAUCCGGAAUAUCUAAAGAAUUUGAGUAAAUUAUUAUUACAUUGUAUAUAACGCGAACACAAGAUUUAAAAUUUGUUUCAUAUACCAACAGACUACAGAUGUUCUUAUCAAAAUAUUCUGUACUCACGUUUCCAAUGCAUUUCCUUGCUAAUAUAUCCACUUUUAACCACUGUCACAGCACUUAUAAUCAAUCUCUGGGAUAACAUAUACACUUGUUUUUGUUCUAAACACUAUCCAAUUUAUCUUAACACUUCCUAAUGGCAUAUUUCUGUCUAAACAAAUACUCCCGGUUACAAACACCAUUUUUUUAUUAUAACUAAGAUCGACCACACGUCAUGAACUCAGUUUGCUAAUACACAUAUUAUCCUAAACUUCACAGCGAUUUUUAUUUCUCUCACAUACGGAUUUCCUUUAUUAAAACGACCUAGACUUAUUUUUACGAUAACUUGAAAACAAAAACAAUUAGACAGUCUUUACUCCAUCUUCACCGCUACAAACUGUCAAACGUAUCGGAAGCGUAUAUUAUAGGCGGCAAACUCAAAAUUGUAUGCGCGAAAAGCGGAAAAACUUGUACCCGGUGCAUCCUGCUGGAUUGUAUUUUAUAUUAUUGAUUUUUAAGAAUUUAUUCUUUUCAUUUUCUUAUUCCUAGCAAAAUAUACAUAUAAUCUUGACCAUAAAUUAACAUUAUCAAUAAUCGAUGUUGUUGUCACCUAGUGUCAAGUAGCGACACUAUUACGGUGGUUAUCUACGUAUUCACUUCCGCACUCUAGUAAUGUCACAGUUCGCCGUCAGAUGACGCUGUAAAGAUAAGCUGCCAUUUUCCAUUUCACGAUCCGAAACACAACAUAUUGAAAAAAAUACAUAUCGAAACGAAUGCCAAAUUAUAAAAAUCGAUAUAUAGUGAUAGUCAAACUUAAAAGAGAAAUAUAUAAAGAUAAUAAAUAAAACUUCCUGACUAAUUAAAUUACUCUACUGUUUUUGACUUUUAGCGCCACCUACGAAUUAACUCACUCAUCGAUCAAUCAUGGAACGUCUAAGUACUUCUACUCGACACUAGAUGGUAGUAGUACUCGGAAUCUAUGCAUUUUGAGAUUAUUCAAUUCUCUGCCAAAAGAUUAUUUCGUAUCGGACCUGUUAAAAACAAAAUGCAAUAUUUUUAUUAACUAUUUUUAAUACUAAAUUAAAUCGAUCGUGUAAACCGCUUUUAAUCAUAAACAAUAUUUUCUAGAUGUCGGCCAUGUGCGACAAAAUUAAAAAUACGUCCUAGCAUCCCUGACAACAUACGAAACACUGCCUACAUGAUUUAAUCGGAUUGUAGCCGACUUAGUUAAAGUUCCCCAUAGAUGGCGUGUGUAACAAGAAAUAAAAGAAUACAAUGAAAUUUGGCCGUUUUAAGAUUUGAAUAUGCAUUUUAUAUUAAUAUGAUAGUAAGGAUGCAUUUAUCCAAUAAGUAAAUUAAAGUAAUUGAUGCAAUCACGCCAUACCAUAAACUAUUCUAGACUUACAACGAUAUUUUAAUCAUGGCAGCCCUAAGCACUGACACUUUUCUAACUUCCGUUCAUUUAAGUUUUUUUUAUUAGUAUUUUCUAUUAACAUCAUUCAUUUUCAUUGCCUAAAACUUGUUAUUAAAUCUCAAAAUUAUUAAUUAAGGUCAUAAAUACCAAAGUUACCUCAACUAUCAGUGUCAUAGUGAAUUAACACCUUAAUAAGCAAACAAGUGACAACCAUCCAAACGCCAUAUUGUAAUUCAUCAAGUUGUAUAAUUUUUUUUGACAAAUAAUUACCAUGACGGAACUUUAAACUGAGCUGGAAAAGAUCGUCCUCGAGUGCGCUUUUAUGAUUCUCUAAAUAUCCCUACCCAUUGCCUAUCGCAAGAACUGCACAAGACAAACGAAAUAGAUUUUCGGAUUCAAACACGAUCAUGGUCUUCACUUUCAUCAAAAAUGUGUAAAUCUUCAAUGAACCUAAUGCCCUACGAUGACCUAUGACCUAAAGUUUGAACUGUAUAGAAACAAGGAUGUUUAAUUAAUGUGCCUAGCUCAUGUUCGAAUCGAUAUACCGAUCGAAAUGAGCUCAAAUAUGGAACCUGUUACUCCUAGCAAGUAAACUGACAACUCUAUUGGAAUAGUCCCUGUUGCCUGACAUACAUGAACUGAUAACAAUGAAAAUGUAUUGAAAUUAUGUUGGAGAACUCCGCUUGCUGGAUUUGAUGAAACCUUAAAGACAAACAGAGACAAGACUGAUGGCUGCCUACACAUACCCACACCUAGUGAUUGGUGAUGUUUAAGCCGAGCGGAGCAAAUUGCUGUUUGCUGUUUUCAUGGACUUUUCUGAGUCUCGAUAAUCUCCAACAAACAGAAUGGUUUCCUGACACCUAGCCGUUAGGUCCCCUAGCAGUCAGUUAGACUUAAGCCAAGCGAAGGAAAUCUCUAUGGUUAUUUUCAUGAUUCCUGUUUCUCCAUGUCUAAGCCACAAUUUUCAAUGUUCCGGAGAACUGACACUGCCCCGCAGUCAUUACAUCUACCCUCAAUGUACACUUACUGAAUGCUUCUAUUGAUGAAAGAUUACGAAGGACCACACUACUCCAGACUCCUGUUCAAUAAUUUUAUUUCAUCACUUUUGCUGUAACAAUGGCUGCUGUCUACUGCCACUUCAAAGUUCCUGUUCCACGGCUCUAUUUCUAGAAACCUGCACCCACAUCAGCAGUGGUCUACAUUGAAUACUACUUAUAGGGAAAAUGACACUCAAGAUCUUCUUUUACGUUAGGUAUCAAGGCGCAAGAAGAUGGAAUUAUAAUUGAUUAUUUUGAGAUGACACGUCUCAAAUAUGAAAUGAAUCCCCUAACAACGACGAGAAGAAAACGAGUAAAGAAGACUGAUAAACUUUAAAUAGAAAAUAACUAAUCCUUAUAUUUUUAUUAAGUAGACAAUAACUCUAAGGAUUUUUUUUGUACAUAAUAACAGUUUGAAAAAUAAACGUUUUUAUUUUUCAAACUAACUAAACAAAUAAACGAU